ACGAAGGGGGCUAGCGUUGUUCGGAAUUACUGGGCGUAAAGCGCACGUAGGCGGACUGAUAAGUCAGGGGUGAAAUCCCGGGGCUCAACCCCGGAACUGCCUUUGAUACUGUCAGUCUAGAGUUCGAGAGAGGUGUGUGGAACUCCGAGUGUAGAGGUGAAAUUCGUAGAUAUUCGGAAGAACACCAGUGGCGAAGGCGACACACUGGCUCAUUACUGACGCUGAGGCGCGAAAGCGUGGGGAGCAAACAGGA
rnacentral:rRNA from 1 species